UUUUAUCACCGAGGAGGUGGAGCUGGCCUCUGUGGUCUUGGGGGUUCUGAAGUUUCCCCAAACCCACACUGCAGCUCACUUGGCUGAGGCCAAAAAUCUUCUCAUGGAAGAAUGGGGAAUUAAAGGGAAGGUGACAGGCCUGGUUACAGACUGUGCUCCCAACAUGGUUGCAUGUGCUAAUAUAUUACUGCUUCGGCA